UACGUAGGUCGCAAGCGUUAUCCGGAAUUAUUGGGCGUAAAGCGCGCGUAGGCGGUUUCUUAAGUCUGAUGUGAAAGCCCGUGGCUCAACCACGGAGGGUCAUUGGAAACUGGGGAGCUUGAGUGCAGAAGAGGAGAGUGGAAUUCCACGUGUAGCGGUGAAAUGCGUAGAGAUGUGGAGGAACACCAGUGGCGAAAGCGGCUCUCUGGUCUGUCACUGACGCUGAGGCGCGAAAGCGUAGGGAGCGAACAGG
rnacentral:rRNA from 1 species